UCCGGUUGAUCCUGCCGGACCCCACUGCUAUCGGGAUGGGACUAAGACAUGUUAGUCGAGCGUCUCCAAGCUAUGAUGGAGGCGCGGCAUACAGCUCAGUAACACGUGGCUAACCUGCCCUUGGGACAAGGACAACCCCGGGAAACUGAGGCUAAUCCUUGAUAGGUGAGAACUCCUGGAAUGGAUUCUUGCUCAAAAGAUGCUUUGAUCAUGCUUCUAGGCAUCGCCCAAGGAGGGGGCCGCGGCCGAUCAGGUUGUUGGUGAGGUAACGGCUCACCAAGCCUCUGACCGGUACGGGCCGUGAGAGCGGAAGCCCGGAGAUGGGCACUGAGACAAUGGCCCAGGCCCUACGGGGCGCAGCAGUCGCGAAAACUCCGCAAUACACGAAAGUGUGACGGGGCUAUCCCGAGUGCCAUCCGCUGAGGAUAGCUUUUCCCCAGUGUAUAAAGCUGGGAGAAUAAGGAGAGGGCAAGCCUGGUGUCAGCCGCCGCGGUAAUACCAGCUCUCCGAGUGGUGGGGAUGUUUAUUGGGCCUAAAGCAUUCGUAGCCUGCUAGCCAAGUCCUCCGUUAAAUCCACCGAUUCAAUCGUUGGGCUGCGGGGGAUACUGCUGGGCUAGGGGGCGGGAGAGGCCGACGGUAUCCUCGGGGUAGGGGUGAAAUCCUAUAAUCCCGGGUAGACCACCAGUGGCGAAGGCUGUCGGCUAGAACGCGCCCGACGGUGAGGGAUGAAAGCUGGGGGAGCGAACCGGAUUAGAUACCCGGGUAGUCCCAGCUGUAAACGAUGCAGGCUAGGUGUUGGAGCGGCUACGAGCCGCUUCGGUGCCGCAGGGAAACUGUUAAGCCUGCCGCCUGGGGAGUACGGUCGCAAGGCUGAAACUUAAAGGAAUUGGCGGGGGAGCAC
rnacentral:rRNA from 1 species